AGCACUACUCCGCCAUGCACAGAGGGAUCCCAGCCCAGAGCGCAGCCUUCUACUGAGAGGGGAUUGAGGACCUGAGCCCUAGGACCAUGCCCCAGGACUACCUGACAUGAUGACUCCUUGCUGUCCCCAGUCCACCUGGCCAUGCUGCUGCUCCAGUUUCAACUGGCCUGGGCCCUAGGACCAUGUCCCAGGACUACCUGACAUGAUGACUCCUUGCUGUCCCCAGUCCACCUGGCCAUGCUGCUGCUCCAGUUUCAACUGUUCUGCCUUACUAUUAUUCAACCAUGCUGGUCAUUUAUGAACAUUUGAACAUCUUGGCCACGUUCUGUUAUAAUCUCCACCCGGCACAGCCAGAAGAGGACUGGCCACCCCACAUAUGCUCUCUCUAAUUCUCUCUUUCUUUCUCUCUCUCGGAGGACCUGAGCCCUAGGACCGUGCCCCAGGACUACCUGACAUGAUGACUCCUUGCUGUCCCCAGUCCACCUGACUGUGCUGCUGCUCCAGUUUCAACUGUUCUGCCUUAUUAUUAUUCGACCAUGCUGGUCAUUUAUGAACAUUUGAACAUCUUGGUCAUGUUCUGUUAUAAUCUCUACCCGGCACAGCCAGAAGAGGACUGGCCACCCCACAUAGCCUGGUUCCUCUCUAGGUUUCUUCCUAGGUUUUGGCCUUUCUAGGGAGUUUUUCCUAGCCACCGUGCUUUUACACCUGCAUUGUUUGCUGUUUGGGGUUUUAGGCUGGGUUUCUGUACAGCACUUUGAGAUAUCAGCUGAUGUACGAAGGGCUAUAUAAAUAAAUUUGAUUUGAUUUGAGGUACCCAGGCUAGGCCAGGAGAAGCCAUGCAAACAGUCAGGUACCCAAGCUAGGCCAGGAGAAGCCAUGCAGACAGUCAGGUACCCAGGCUAGACCAGGAGAAGCCAUGCAGACAGUCAGGUACCCAGGCUAGACCAGGAGAAGCCAUGCAGACAGUCAGGUACCCAGGCUAGGCCAGGAGAAGCCAUGCAGACAGUCAGGUACCCAGGCUAGACCAGGAGAAGCCAUGCAAACAGCAGGGAGUAGAACAAGUCAAACAGAAUCUACACAAAGCAUGUGAUGAGGCCAAAAGGAGUUUCCAUUCACGUUAAAAAAGGUCAGAACCAGGCUGGCUACUCAUUUAGGUCAUUGAAGAGAUGCCCUCAUGGGUCAGCCCAUCAAUACAUCGUACUGUGAUCCAUUCAUCAGGCCAGCUAUCACACUCUGGGAUUGUUGAGUCAGGCCUGGAGCCUAAGGGUGAGAGGUUAAACGGAGACAGGUGGCAGUAGGCUAGCUUCUAUCCAUCUGCAGACUAGAACAGGUUUAAGUGUGUGUUAAGGCUGUGUGUUCAUCUAGACACUACUGUAUGGACUGGACAGUAGCUCAGACAAGCCAUGGACAGUAUAUACUUUGAAUGCUGCAGAGUCAACAGGCAUACAUGCAGAUACGCAUACAUAUGAGUACCCACUCAGAUGUCCACACACGUCUCCUCAGUCGAAUACCACCACACACACGGCACCCCCCUCAGGCCAUCAUACCAGACACGGAAACAAACUGCCCCACUUUGCUGGUGUCUAAACACAAACAUGCCGUUAUAGUACACGCUGCCGUGAACAAACACAGAAACACACACCAUUAUUCCUAACCGAGUCCGACAGACACACAAAAACAAUGUCUGCCUCAUCCUCCCGUCACAGGGAGCCAGAACAGGGCCACCAUGACAGUGCCCCAGGCAUCACUACAAUAGAACUACAGCGGAUUGGCACUGGACUGGUACAGCACUACGUUAGAACAGGGAUUGGACAACACAGAGCUUGGCCCCGCAGUGUCAGUUUGGCUUCAAAUCUAGGUUGUGGUUUCUGGUUGAACAGCCAGGUUUUGGUUUAAGGGGUCACUGCUCUUAAACUAGAGGGACGUUCAAAUAUUUGUGUCGAGCGCAACACAGUGUGCUUGUACUCCUCUCAGGCGUUUUAAGUGAUGCCACCAUUUCCGCUCUGUUGUGAAAGGAAGUCUUCAGCAUUCAGCCAGGAGCCCAGAGAAGAGAGCGCGAAAGUGAGCGAGAGUGAGCGAGCCGCCUUUUCAUUUUGCCAGCCUCAAAAGCAAUUAGUGGAGCCAGAUGGCUGUCUGGACUCUGAAUAAAUAGUUUGAGCAUCGACGGAAAAACCCCAUAGACGACACACACACAGACCUGUGUCAAAGCGUCGAGACACAGGGAAGAUACGGACCUAAAGAACCAAAUUGGUUCUAGCUGAGACUACAGGGCAGAAAAACAAUCAAACCUUCACACAAUGAAUCCAUUUCCACUUCAUCUCUGCACCUUCACUGUGGGGAGUGAAGGUCACAUGGUUUUACAGUGAUAAAAGUAUGGGCACAUGAAAGCACGCGUCCCCUCCCACUUUCUUUACCAAACCAGUCUGGUUGAGUCAGAGGGUUCAAAGAACGCAGCCCUUGAGAGCUGGUCGAAUUACUUAGUUUCAGCCAGCAUGCACAUUCCCCAACUGAUAACAAACCCUCCCUCUAUGUGGUAAUACCAAAGCAACACCACAUUCCUAAGCCAUUACACACGGUAUCUGUACGUUUCCUUGACGCUCCCACUCUGUCCAAACUACCCGUUACCACGGCAGCGGGUUCACCUUAGUCAACCAGAUGACAUAUGCAAAUCAAACAAACAGGGGGAGGGGCUUGGGUGUGUGAGUGAAACGUGAGCUAACACACGUCACCGCUCUCCCUCGCUACCCUUCUCAUGUUGAUUCCCAUAGCCUAGAUACUGUAUGUUAUCAGCGCUCUUGACAAUGAACAGUUUUAUCACAACCGAAACGAGACAAACAGCAAGACUCAGCACCCUCCAGGGUGUGCUAACAUGUUACACUAGCUAACAGAGGACAUUGAUAAUAAAUAUACCCAGAUACCUACAUUCAAUUACUAUUUAUAUUCCUUCUAUGUACAUAAUACACAGCAACAAGGUCAUCGUUUCAAAAAUCAAGAAAACUUUAAUUGCAACCAAAUACAAAAAAAAAUGACAAAUAGUGACAGAUUCUAAAAGGUUUCUUUAAAAAAAACUAGUUCAGAGCGGUGAAUAAAAGCACAUUUUGUGGUAAGAUUGUUUCGAGUGCACUGUACAAAAUGGUGCAGGGUAAAAGCACAUUAAGCCUGUUGUGGCGGAGUAGUCACAGCAAAGCAGUGGAGAAAUAAAGCAUAAAUGUUAAAGCACUGCAAUAAGAGAUAAAAAGAUAAGGACUUGUAAAAUAAGCAUUGAUACAGAAGAGAAGAAAUCCUUCAUGCUCGGCACUGAGAAAUAGAACACGUGACACCAUAAAUUAGUCAUUCUUUAUUUUCCUUUCCACUAGAUACUGUAUUUAUAUAUUUAUACUAUGUACACGUCAGGGGGGAGCGAUCGAGACGACAAGGAAGUUAAGGCUUGGAUUAGUCAUCAGUGUUUCGAGCCAGAGGACGACAAUGUGGAUUAACAACAACUACUAAAUAACAACCUACAAACAAGCUGUGUUAACUCCAGGACAGGAACAUUACGUCAACUCUCUAAAAGCA